GCUUAGUCGUAAACCAAAGUAGUCCUGAAACAAGACUAUUCGCCAGAGUACUACCGGCAACAGCCCAAAACUCAAAGGACUUGGCGGUGCUUCAUAUCCUUCUAGAGGAGCCUGUUCUAUAAACGAUAAACCCCGAUCAACCUCACCAACCCUUGCUACUUCAGUCUAUAUACCGCCAUCUUCAGCAAACCCUAAUGAAGGCACAAAAGUAAGCACAAUUAUUAUACAUAAAAACGUUAGGUCAAGGUGUAACUCAUGAGUUGGGAAGUAAUGGGCUACAUUUUCUACAGCAAGAAUACCACUUAUAAACCACACGAAAGUUUUUAUGAAACCUAAAAACCAAAGGAGGAUUUAGCAGUAAAUUAAGACUAGAGCGCUUAAUUGAAUUAGGCCAUGAAGCACGC
rnacentral:rRNA from 1 species